rnacentral:snRNA from 1 species
GCUAGAGAUUAACACUCAAAUGA